AGGAAACACAGACUGUUUUACAACACAAAACUCGGGACCCGAACAGAGCACAGAGGACAGACACAGGUUGCUUGGAGGAUCUGUUGGUGUCCUGUAGUGUGAUGGAAAUAUUAGGUUGUCAAGGUUCUGAGGAGGACUAACCCCUGAAAAGCAGGUGGCGCUGAAAACACCUCUCCAGCGUGUCAUUAAAAUGGCACAAUUCAUCUGUGGAGUACCCUUCCCUCGACUACAUCAUCACAAACUCAUCAAGGACUGCACCAACCCACAGCACACACUGUUCAUACUCCUGCCAUCUGGUAGACGCUACAGGAGUGUGAACGCGAGGACAACCAGACUAAAAAACAGUUUCCAUCUACAGGCUAAUCUGUCAGGGGGGCGGAUAAAAAACUGACUCAACAGCAGAGCUCCUUGCAGAUAAACAGUGAGGUUUAUUUACAAAGUGGAGAAAAUAAUGAACAUCUGAUCUAUGUACAAUGAAUGUUGAGUGGGGAGUCUUCUUUGCUAAUACUCCAGUGCUGACUGAAGAUCGAUCACUCUGUUAAAUAGUCUGGCUAAGAUGGCGGAAGAUCAGCAGCAGGUGCAAAGGCUUCAGCCCGGGGACACCCCAACGGACGUAAACAAACAUAUAUAGAGAGAAACGAGAGGGAGAGAGAACACUAUAUCACGGGUAGGCCAACUGGUGAGGACCGUCGGACCUUGACAUAAUGAAUCACUGACUAAUUGUUAUCUAUUGACUAUUGUUGAAUAACCUGACCUGUACAUUUGCAACAUUGAACAUUUAUAUACAAUCUAAUACAACUUCAUGCAAUACAAGCAAUUAUCACAUUUGGAAUAUCUUAAUAACUGUGACAGUGCUGCAUAACUACUUGCCCUUUAAAAUUUUAAUUACACCCUACUCUUGUGUACAUAGCACCCGCUUUAUUCUUUUUAUGAUUAAAGUUAAGUUUAUUCUUUAGUUAGUUGUUUAUUUAGUUGUGUGAAGGGAACUCGCAAAGUAAGAAUUUCAUUGCUCAGCGUAACCAUUUGUGUUUUGCAGUGUAUAUGACAAUAAACUUCUUGAAUCCUGAAUUACCACACUAAAUUAAAUCACAUUUAUGUUGCUACUUGUGUUACAAAGUUUUUUCACUUAUCUUAAAAAUAAAAGAACUUUUUCCACGAUUAGCAAAGCUGCUAGACCUUUCUUCUGCGGUGCCCAAAUGUGAUAAUUACAAAUACCAACCGUGUAAUUUUCCCAGUCUUUCCAGUUUGGGCGUGUUUUCUUUUGUUUUUGUCUUGCUUUGUUACACCUACUCAUUUCCGC